AUGGUUCGGUGUUUUGAUGAUCCCUACCUUAUUGACCGCAACUUCUGUAUUAUCGCCUUCAUCGCUUCCCCUCCAGUAGAUAUUGAUGGUAUUCGUGAGCCUGUUUCUGGUUCUUUACUUUAUGGAAACAAUAUUAUCUCUGGUGCUAUUAUCCCUACUUCUGCGGCGAUCGGAUUGCACUUUUACCCAAUUUGGGAAGCUGCAUCUGUUGAUGAGUGGUUAUACAAUGGUGGUCCUUAUGAGCUAAUUGUUCUACACUUCUUACUUGGUGUAGCUUGUUAUAUGGGUCGUGAGUGGGAACUUAGUUUCCGUCUGGGUAUGCGUCCUUGGAUUGCUGUUGCAUAUUCAGCUCCUGUUGCAGCUGCUACUGCUGUUUUCUUGAUUUACCCUAUUGGUCAAGGAAGCUUUUCUGAUGGUAUGCCUUUAGGAAUCUCUGGUACUUUCAACUUUAUGAUUGUAUUCCAGGCAGAGCACAACAUCCUUAGGCAUCCAUUCCACAUGUUAGGUGUAGCUGGUGUAUUCGGCGGUUCCCUAUUCAGUGCUAUGCAUGGUUCCUUGGUAACCUCUAGUUUGAUCAGGGAAACUACUGAAAAUGAAUCUCCUAAUGAGGGUUACAAAUUUGGUCAAGAGGAAGAAACUUAUAAUAUUGUGGCUGCUCAUGGUUAUUUUGGCCAACUAAUCUUCCAAUAUGCUAGUUUCAACAACUCUCGUUCUUUACACUUCUUCUUGGCUGCUUGGCCUGUAGUAGGAAUCUGGUUCACUGCUUUAGGUAUUAGUACUAUGGCUUUCAACCUAAAUGGUUUCAAUUUCAACCAAUCUGUAGUUGAUAGUCAAGGUCGCGUUAUUAAUACUUGGGCUGAUAUCAUCAACCGUGCUAACCUUGGUAUGGAAGUAAUGCACGAACAUAAUGCUCACAACUUCCCUCUAGACUUAGCUGCUGUUGAAGUUCCAUCUAUUAAUGGAUAA
rnacentral:rRNA from 1 species